GUAGGUGAACCUGCGGAAGGAUCAUUAUCACGUAUCCACGUAUAAACCAUUGUGAACUGUUUUUUAACCUUUGUUGGUGGGUAAAACAAGGAAAGAAAAAGGAAAUUUAUUUCUCUUUUCUUCUCUUUUUUUAUCACAGCUAACAAAGUGUAAUUUAACCCUUUAUUAACCAUUAUAACCCAAACUUUAUAACUUUAUGAACUAAUUUUUAUUUUAUACUCUUCGGAGAUAAAAUUCAUUACGAAACAAAGAACAACUCUUAGCAACGGAUAUCUUGGUUCUC
rnacentral:misc_RNA from 1 species